rnacentral:rRNA from 10 species
GCCUGGUUAGUACUUGGAUGGGAGACCUCCUGGGAAUACCGGGU